rnacentral:rRNA from 1 species
CCUGGCUCAGGACGAACGCUGGCGGCGUGCCUAACACAUGCAAGUCGAACGGAGUUGAAAGGAGCUUGCUUUUUUCAACUCAGUGGCGGACGGGUGAGUAACGCGUGAGUAACCUGCCUUUCAGAGGGGGAUAACGUUCUGAAAAGAACGCUAAUACCGCAUAAGAUUGUAGUUUCGCAUGGAGCAGCAAUCAAAGGAGCAAUCCGCUGAAAGAUGGACUCGCGUCCGAUUAGAUAGUUGGCGGGGUAACGGCCCACCAAGUCGACGAUCGGUAGCCGGACUGAGAGGUUGAUCGGCCACAUUGGGACUGAGACACGGCCCAGACUCCUACGGGAGGCAGCAGUGAGGGAUAUUGGGCAAUGGGGGAAACCCUGACCCAGCAACGCCGCGUGAGGGAUGACGGUUUUCGGAUUGUAAACCUCUGUCCUCUGUGAAGAUAGUGACGGUAGCAGAGGAGGAAGCUCCGGCUAACUACGUGCCAGCAGCCGCGGUAAUACGUAGGGAGCAAGCGUUGUCCGGAUUUACUGGGUGUAAAGGGUGCGUAGGCGGAUUGGCAAGUCAGAAGUGAAAUCCAUGGGCUUAACCCAUGAACUGCUUUUGAAACU